AGCUGGUCAAAGUACAGGCAUGUUUACAACUGAUGGAUCACAACCAGUUACAGAUUCUUUGUUCCUUCCCUACUCCACUGCUUCUGUUGACUAAGCUUAAC
rnacentral:sRNA from 1 species